UACGGAGGGGACUAGCGUUGUUCGGAAUUACUGGGCGUAAAGCGCACGUAGGCGGAUUUGUAAGUCAGGGGUGAAAUCCCGGGGCUCAACCUCGGAACUGCCUUUGAUACUGCAAAUCUCGAGUCCGGAAGAGGUGAGUGGAAUUCCUAGUGUAGAGGUGAAAUUCGUAGAUAUUAGGAAGAACACCAGUGGCAAAGGCGGCUCACUGGUCCGGUACUGACGCUGAGGUGCGAAAGCGUGGGGAGCAAACAGG
rnacentral:rRNA from 1 species